CAAUAGCGUAUAUUAAAGUUGUUGCAGUUAAAAAGCUCGUAGUUGGAUUUCUGGUUGAAGCGACCGGUCGGGCGUUGAUUCGUCUGCACUGGAGUCGGUUUUGGCCAUCCUCUAGGAAAGUGCGUCUGGUAUUAAGUUAUCGGGCGUAUGAUCCUGGUCUUUUACUGUAAAAAAAUUAGAGUGUUUAAAGCAGGCCUUCGCCUUGAAUACAUUAGCAUGGAAUAAUAAGAUAGGACUUUGGUCUAUUUUGUUGGUUUGCAGACCGAAGUAAUGAUUAAUAGGGAUAGUUGGGGGUAUUUAUAUUCCGAUGUCAGAGGUGAAAUUCUUGGAUUUACGCAAGACAAACAGCUGCGAAAGCGUCUGCCAAGGAUGUUUUCAUUA
rnacentral:rRNA from 1 species